ensembl:lncRNA uncharacterized LOC111938100
CAGGAGUCAAGAGUAAGAGAAUAUGUGCGACCUGCCUGUCUUUGACUUUGUGACAGGAACGAUGCCAUGGGGAAGCUGGUCAGAGGAGCAUCACUGCUCUGUCCUCAAUUUUCCAGCACAACUGAGGAUGAUUUAAAAACCGAGGCACAGCCAAGACCUUUCCUCCUCCUGUGCUCAUCAAGCAAUCACCGCUCAUCACCCCUCUGCUUCAAACACCUCAUUUGCAUCUGGCUGACCUUGACUCCCCUCUGUGGAUGGGAAGAUGAAGAGGUGGAAGUGUAAAAGAUUGGAAUUUUAUGGUGGGGACAGCAGGUGGGAGCUUUCCAAGCCAGACAAAGGAGACCUGACAAGGAACUGUGGUGAAGGGACAAGCCCAAGGCAAGGAAGUGUCCGGUCGCCUCCUCUCCUGGAACAGGCAGCAGAGACCUGGAGAGACAGGAGACAUCUUGCAAGACUCAACACCUGGAGCAGUGCUAACCAGGUUGUGCUGCCCCAGGUAAAGCACUGCUUGUGGACACUCCAACCACCGGAGAGCCCAAACCCCUGUGGUGACAUUCCCGUACAGUUCCCUCUGCUCCAGGUGGGCAGCCCUGAUGUCAGCCAAGCUCUACGUGCUCAUCAGCUGGCCUGACGGCAGCCGGGUCAUCAACAUGGAGAACAUCAAGGAGCCCCGCAAGCCCUUCCACCUCUACACGGUGGGGGAGCAGGUCCUGGCCCGCUGCCCCGGCUUCAGUGGGCUGUACUGGGGUGUGGUGGAAGGCAUAAGUGAGCAUAAAGAUAUUUUGGAGAAGAAGCUGCUGGAAGAUCGGCAGCUCCUGGAGAAGUUAAAAGAGGAACCAGCUGUCCACAACAUGAUGCCAUCCCCACCAAAAAAAUCCAGGAAAACCUUUCCAAAAUGGACCCCAGGGAAUGCAUCCAGGAAAUACCCCAAUGACAAGACCUAUCCUGCAAAGCCACUGCUGAGGGUGGCUGAGGCCAGCCUGCCUCAUGAUGCCAGCAGCUCCUCCAUCCUCAAGGACAGACGUGUCCUGGGAAGCGUGGCAGGAAGCCCUCGCUUGCUGGCAACUCCCUCCCAGCCAGCCAGUGCCUUCACACCUCCGUCCACCUUCAUCACCAUGGCCCUGCCAGGGCAAGGAGCUUCCCAGAGUGAAGAGGACAGGGCUGGUCUGGGUGCCAGAGAUUAUGUUGCCCUUCCAAUGAAGAGGAAGUCAGAUGGCAUCUUGUCCCCGUGCCAGCAGCAGAUCUGUCUGAAAAGCCGUGAAGAGCGAAAGAUGGAUGCUUUGCAAGAGACCGAUGGCUUUGAGAGGGUUCACAGAAAUUUUGGUCCUGUUGAGAUGGAAAGGGCAGAGAAGAUAGAUCAGCUGGAGAGGAUGGUGUUGGACCUCCAACAAGAUGUCCUCUCUCUGAAGAAGAAGGUGCAGAGGCUGGAAUCCCUGUCCUUCCAGGAGGAGCCCCACCGACAGCCGUGUGAGGUGGUGGAGCUCUUCAAUGGCUACACCAAGGAGCAGCUCAAAGAGACCAUCAGGUUUGACCAGAAAAUCAGCACAGCCUGCAAGACCCUGCUCUACAAACUCUUCACCUCUGACUACAUCCAGAGCCACUCCAUCACGGGGCGCAGGGGCAACACUUUCCGGGAGGCGAAGCCAAUGAUGGACGAACGCUGCAUCAAAAUCAUCAGGGUGCUUCUGAAGCAGAAGUUUGGGGAUCACCUCAGUGACACCGUGAUCACAGAGAAGAUCCAGAAUGUGCAGAAAGCCCUGAGGCAGAAGUUUAAGACAGAAUGUCUCUGAGGUGUGGGGGAUUUGGUGUCUCCUCCUGCCAUUCCUGUGUGUGUCCCUGAGCAGCCUUCCCAGGAAAGAUGAGCUGAGCAGCUGCUGCUCAGUAGAUUUCCCCCAAGGAGCCUACUCAAGUGAACCAUGUGCUAGACACAGCUCAAACACUGCCAAACCUCUGCCUGCAUUAACUGAGCAGGAAUCUGGCCUAACUUGGCUCAGUUUUUGCACUCUACAAGUUCCUUCACAUCCAGACUGUGUGCAAACCUCACUGUGGGUGCAUGGAAUCACCUCUGUGACUCUGAUGAUGUGCUCAAAGGCUUCAGGGCUCCAUUUGAGUCCAAGAAUGGGUCAGGAGGGUAGCCCUGUUCCACACUGCAGAAAUGUUGGCUUUGGGAUGGGGAAUCCAGCUGCACACAGUCUGUCACCCAAUGUGGCUUCUCUCUCUCUGCCUCUGGUUGCCUCCUUCUGCCUGUGGGACAAUAUUUACUCUUUUCUCACAUUGAAUGUUUUAUUUUCAGCAGUAACAGAAAGGCAGACUCAUUAAAAUGACACCUUAAAAAAUUCAGAAAAAGAUAAGUUGAUUUUUUUCCGUCUAUUUUAAUGUAGCCAUAUGGAAGAGUUGUCUUCCCUAACAAAAGCCUGCUGGACGAGAGAAGGGGUCACCCGUGGAAGUUACAUUAAUUUUACUACCAAGAUUAUUUCCAUGUAGGAGAAAUCCCUUACAUUUUUCUGACAUAAGAGAGAGGGAUGGAGGACAAAAUAUGGCCCAACUUUGCUUCAAAGAUAUAUAUGUUGUGGACACUGUCACCAUUAUUUAAAUACAGCAUUAUUGUCCUAGAUAAGAAAUGCCAAAUACAACCAGACACUUUGCUGAGGGACUAUAGAGAAGGUCUAGAAAGAUACAUCUUCUCCUAAAUAAUUCAGAGCUGGAGUGUGGGUGGGUUAAAAUUGUUCUAAGCAUUAAAAGAAUGAGCUGCUGACACCAGUCCAGCACUUAACAGAAGUGCUGCAAAAUACCAAACAUUCCCUUUUACAGAGGCUUCUCAGACAAGAAAUUGGUUUUCUCAACUUCAUUUUUAAUUAUUGAGCAAAAGAAAUACCAUUGGGUUUGUAUUAAUCAAAAGAUUUGGUUUAAUUUAUAUGUUGUAUUGUGUUUUCGAGUAUUUAAUUUCCUCAUAGUUACAUGAGAAAUAAUAAUGCAAAAUAAUUGUAUUGGAGAAACAAGGAGCUGUUUUGAAAGGGAAAAAGAAAAAAAAGAAAUGAGUUAUUCUCAGAAUUUUCUUCCACCUUCAGCCUUUUUUUAGCUUUUCCAUUAAAGUAGGGUUAAUUCUGUGAUGCAUUUUAGUUUUGGAAGGAGAUAGGCAUGCCAAUGUUUCUGGCACUAUUUUCAUCAGAUGUCUCUAACAGUCAUGUCAAAUUGAAGUAACAACUAAAGACAUUCCUUCUCUUUUCCCAAUGCAAAUGCUUUUCCUAACUAAUGUGCAAACACACUGUUGAUUUCUCCUUCGUAGGGACCUUGACCUGAGCAGCAGCUGGAGCAGGUCUGCUGCUGUCACUUAGAGCCAAGAGUGCAGCCAGUCCUGGAAAACACACUGAAACUGAUCAGAACUGCCCCAAAACCUCCUCAGUGCAGAAACACACCUUGAAAUACACCAGCCCUGCCAGAAAGAUGGGGCCUUCCCACCACAGGCCUUAGGUUGGAAUCACUGCUCAGGGAAAUGCCCCCAGUGAUGUUUUUAAUGUUAGCUUAUCAAGGAGAAGUUCAAGGAGGCACAGCCAGCCUUACCCUGCAGAACCUUAAAGCUCAUCCAGUGCCAUCCCCCUGCUGUGGGCACCUUCCACUAUCCCAGGUUACUCCAAGCCCUGUCCAGCCUGGCCUUGAACACUUCCAGGGCUGGGGCAGCCACAGCGUCUCUGGGCAACCUGUGCCAGUGCCUCUCUCCAUCUUCCCUCCCGAAAUUCAUCACAUCCCUCACCAAGCUGCAGUCUGCAAAGCCAGCUCACCAAUGUUAUUUAUUAAAAUAAGUGCUGCUGCUGUCCUCCCCCGCUGAGCCCCCUCUGAUGAGCUGCAGAUCAUUACUGUGAGCGGAGGGAGAAAAGAGAGCCAGGGAAUGGACUGGCUGCGGGGUGCCGCGGCUCCCAAAACGCGCCCGCUCUAAUCAGCUCCCCUAGAAGCAAAUGAGCUGGGUGACCUUUCUGCUUGAAAAGCCCUUUGGUGGCUCCCUCAGAGGUGACUCCCCAGCCUAGCACGCUUGCUGGUAUUCAGGAGAGCUCCUGGUAAGUGGGCUGAUGGAUGCUCUGUGGCUCAGUGCGCAGCACAGCCACAGCACUAAUGAGAGGGCGCUCGAAUGGGCCCUUCUCAGCUAUAAAAGUUGUCCUCAGAUACUCUCAAAGGCUUUGAUAUGGCAGGGAGGGUUGAAGAAAGGCAAUGCAGGCGGCUUUUCGUCAAACUUCAUUUUUUAAAGUAUUUGUGAGCCGCUGGCAGCGUUUGUGGGCUAAUUGGGAGCACUGGCAGCCGCCGGCGAUCAAACGUCAGCGCGAGGAUGCCGAUGCUCUCACCUCCCUGAACUCUCCAGCUCUGGCUAAUCAGCCUCGAGAGGGAGGAUCACACAGCUCUGGCAUGUGGCAUUCCCUGGGGGAUGCAGGGGUCAGGGCAGAUAGAGGAGGAGGAGGAAGGUUUGUGCCAGAACCACUUCACUCGGGGAUGUUCAAAGCCUGUGUGUCUCUCUAAGCGGUGAAAGGCAGCUCCAUUGAAUGGAAUUAACUUCCCACUUUAAAUGAAUUACCAGGAAAAAGUGGACAGCACUUGCUGUUGAGAUUAAUUACUGUGCUGAAUCUGCAGCAUCUUGUUAAAAAUGAUGUUCCAGCUCAGCUUCUGGGUGAGGUGGGUGCAGGAAGGUGUGGACAGUGAAAAUGAAGGUCACAACUCAGGGGAGGUCUCCAAGGAGGUUUUGCAUUUGGUUGAAAAGCAGGAGGAAUGGUGCUUUUCAAUCUUUGCAAAUGCAGGACAGGAACGGAACAUCCAGGACUCUCUCCAGGAAGAGCAAGGACCUCAAAGGGUUUUGGGCCUCUCUGAGGGCCCUUGGGCCCCAGCACCCCAAAAUGCUGCAGUGGGGCCCUGCCACACCUUCAGCACCUGGCUGCACCUCUGCUGUUUCCUCAGGAACCAGCUGCAAGCUGUGUGUUACUCACUGGCAGCAAUACACAGGGAAAGAUGGGAACCUUUCUGCUCUGUAUCAACCUUUACAUUGUCAGCUGGGCCAACAUGAGGCUUCUGAAAUGUCAUAACAAUCAUAGAAUUGUUUGAGCUGGAAGGGACCACUAAAGGUCUUCCAGUUUCAACCCCCUGGAAUGAACAGGGACAUCAUCAACUAGAUCAGGUUGUUUAACCAUCCAACCUGCCUGUGAUUGAUUGCAGGCAUGGUGUAUCAACAGCUUCUCUGGACAGCCUGUGCCAGUGUUUUUAAAAAAAAAAAAUAAAUCCAGUUGUAAAAAUGCUGCUGGCA